rnacentral:rRNA from 1 species
GACGUAGGGGGCGAGCGUUGUCCGGAUUUAUUGGGCGUAAAGCGUGCGUAGGCGGCUGCGCAAGUCGGUUGUGAAACUCCGGGGCUCAACCCCGGAACUGCAUCCGAUACUGCGUGGCUAGAGGUAGGUAGGGGAGAUCGGAAUUCCUGGUGUAGCGGUGAAAUGCGCAGAUAUCAGGAGGAACACCGGUGGCGAAGGCGGAUCUCUGGGCCUUACCUGACGCUCAGGCACGAAAGCUAGGGGAGCGAACAGG